UGGGGAAUUUUGGACAAUGGGCGAAAGCCUGAUCCAGCAAUGCCGCGUGUGUGAAGAAGGCCUUCGGGUUGUAAAGCACUUUUGUCCGGAAAGAAAUCCUUGGCUCUAAUACAGUCGGGGGAUGACGGUCCGGAAGAAUAAGCACCGGCUAACUACGUGCCAGCAGCCGCGGUAAUACGUAGGGUGCAAGCGUUAAUCGGAAUUACUGGGCGUAAAGCGUGCGCAGGCGGUUUGCUAAGACCGAUGUGAAAUCCCCGGGCUCAACCUGGGAACUGCAUUGGUGACUGGCAGGCUAGAGUAUGGCAGAGGGGGGUAGAAUUCCACGUGUAGCAGUGAAAUGCGUAGAGAUGUGGAGGAAUACCGAUGGCGAAGGCGAGCCCCCUGGGCCAAUACUGACGCUCAUGCACGAAAGCGUGGGGAGCAAACAGGAUU
rnacentral:rRNA from 1 species